UGAGACUAUGUGCUCGAUGGUUACAUCAGAAUCAUCUAUAAAAAAAGAGUAAGUGAGCAGCACCGAUAAGAUAAUUUUUGACUGAGACUCUGUCACACUAAAUCUUUGAUUAGCUAUUCAUCAACUCUUCUCUGACUUAAGCAUCGGAGGAUCUCCGUCAGAUACAACUUCGGUCUGUGAGGACUUGAUUUUGCAGGUGCUAUUCAUCGACGACAGGCGAAAGGGAGUUGGCCGCAAC
rnacentral:lncRNA from 1 species